rnacentral:misc_RNA from 1 species
UCUCCGUAGGUGAACCUGCGGAGGGAUCAUUACUGAGUGAGGGCUCACGCCCGACCUCCAACCCUUUGUGAACCAAACUUGUUGCUUCGGGGGCGACCCUGCCGACGACUCCGUCGCCGGGCGCCCCCGGAGGCCUUCAAACACUGCCUCACUGCGUCGGAGUUUAAGCAAAUUUAAACAAAACUUUCAACAACGGAUCUCUUGGCUCUCGCAUCGAUGAAGAACGCAGC